rnacentral:rRNA from 1 species
CCUACGGGGGGCAGCAGUGGGGAAUAUUGGACAAUGGGCGAAAGCCUGAUCCAGCCAUGCCACGUGUGUGAAGAAGGCCUUCGGGUUGUAAAGCACUUUCAGUGGGGAAGAAAGCCUUGGGGCUAAUACCCUCGAGGAAGGACAUCACCCACAGAAGAAGCACCGGCUAACUCCGUGCCAGCAGCCGCGGUAAUACGGAGGGUGCGAGCGUUAAUCGGAAUUACUGGGCGUAAAGCGCGCGUAGGCGGUCUGAUAAGCCGGUUGUGAAAGCCCCGGGCUCAACCUGGGAACGGCAUCCGGAACUGUCAGGCUAGAGUGCAGGAGAGGAAGGUAGAAUUCCCGGUGUAGCGGUGAAAUGCGUAGAGAUCGGGAGGAAUACCAGUGGCGAAGGCGGCCUUCUGGACUGACACUGACGCUGAGGUGCGAAAGCGUGGGUAGCAAACAGGAUUAGAUACCCGUGUAGUC